rnacentral:rRNA from 1 species
GAUGAACGCUAGCUACAGGCUUAACACAUGCAAGUCGAGGGGCAGCAUGAACUUAGCUUGCUAAGUUUGAUGGCGACCGGCGCACGGGUGAGUAACACGUAUCCAACCUUCCGUUUACUCAGGGAUAGCCUUUCGAAAGAAAGAUUAAUACCUGAUAGUAUGGUGAGAUUGCAUGAUAACACCAUUAAAGAUUUAUUGGUAAACGAUGGGGAUGCGUUCCAUUAGGUAGUAGGCGGGGUAACGGCCCACCUAGCCUGCGAUGGAUAGGGGUUCUGAGAGGAAGGUCCCCCACAUUGGAACUGAGACACGGUCCAAACUCCUACGGGAGGCAGCAGUGAGGAAUAUUGGUCAAUGGACGAGAGUCUGAACCAGCCAAGUAGCGUGCAGGAUGACGGCCCUAUGGGUUGUAAACUGCUUUUAUAAGGGAAUAAAGUGAGUCUCGUGAGACUUUUUGCAUGUACCUUAUGAAUAAGGACCGGCUAAGUUCCGUGCCAGCAGCC